UCGGUGGAAGAUUACUAAUGAGAGUGGCGAACGGGUGAGUAACGCGUGAGCAACCUGCCUAUGACAGUGGGAUAGCCUCGGGAAACCGGGAUUAAUACCGCAUAAAAUCGUAGAAACACAUGUUUUAACGGUCAAAGAUUUAUCGGUCAUAGAUGGGCUCGCGUCUGAUUAGCUAGUUGGUGAGAUAACAGCCCACCAAGGCGACGAUCAGUAGCCGGUCUGAGAGGAUGAACGGCCACAUUGGAACUGAGACACGGUCCAAACUCCUACGGGAGGCAGCAGUGGGGAAUAUUGCACAAUGGGGGAAACCCUGAUGCAGCGACGCCGCGUGAACGAAGAAGGUAUUCGUAUCGUAAAGUUCUGUCCUAUGGGAAGAUAAUGACAGUACCAUAGAAGAAAGCUCCGGCUAA
rnacentral:rRNA from 1 species